UACGUAGGUGGCAAGCGUUGUCCGGAAUUAUUGGGCGUAAAGCGCGCGCAGGUGGUUCUUUAAGUCUGAUGUGAAAGCCCCCGGCUCAACCGGGGAGGGUCAUUGGAAACUGGGGAACUUGAGUAUAGAAGAGGAAAGUGGAAUUCCACGUGUAGCGGUGAAAUGCGUAGAGAUCCGGAGGAAGACCGGUGGCGAAGGCGGUCUGCUGGGCAGUUUCUGACACUGAGGCGCGACAGCGUGGGGAGCAAACAGG
rnacentral:rRNA from 1 species